rnacentral:rRNA from 1 species
GGCCCAGACUCCUACGGGAGGCAGCAGUGGGGGAUAUUGCACAAUGGGGGGAACCCUGAUGCAGCGACGCCGCGUGGGUGAAGGAGUAUUUCGGUAUGUAAAGCCCUAUCGGCAGGGAAGAAGCAAGACGGUACCUGACUAAGAAGCCCCAGCUAACUACGUGCCAGCAGCCGCGGCAAUACGUAGGGGGCAAGCGUUAUCCGGAUUCACUGGGUGUAAAGGGAGCGUAGACGGCGACGCAAGUCUGGAGUGAAAGCCCGGGGCCCAACCCCGGGACUGCUCUGGAAACUGCGUCGCUGGAGUACGGGAGGGGCAGGCGGAAUUCCUGGUGUAGCGGUGAAAUGCGUAGAUAUCAGGAGGAACACCGGCGGCGAAGGCGGCUUACUGGACUGUAACUGACGUUGAGGCUCGAAAGCGUGGGGAGCAAACAGGAUUAGAUACCCCAGUACU